AGAACGAACGCUGGCGGCAUGCCUAACACAUGCAAGUCGAACGAAGCCUUCGGGCUUAGUGGCGCACGGGUGCGUAACACGUGGGAAUCUGCCCUUAGGUACGGAAUAACUCAGGGAAACUUGAGCUAAUACCGUAUGAUGUCUUCGGACCAAAGAUUUAUCGCCUAAGGAUGAGCCCGCGUCGGAUUAGCUAGUUGGUGGGGUAAAGGCCUACCAAGGCGACGAUCCGUAGCUGGUCUGAGAGGAUGAUCAGCCACACUGGGACUGAGACACGGCCCAGACUCCUACGGGAGGCAGCAGUGGGGAAUAUUGGACAAUGGGCGAAAGCCUGAUCCAGCAAUGCGCGUGAGUGAAGAAGGCCUUCGGGUUGUAAAGCUCUUUUACCCGGGAAGAUAAUGACUGUACCGGAGAAUAAGCCCCGGCUAACUCCGUGCCAGCAGCGC
rnacentral:rRNA from 1 species